AUUGAUCAGUCUUCCAGACCACUGCAAUCACAAUGAGAUUGUUGCUGCUCUUGAAGAUGAAUAUCCCAAACUAAAGGAUUUAAAAGGAGGGUGGAUGUUCUUCAAGUCGACAGAAAGAUGAGAAACUCUGCUGCAGAUCAUUUAUGUAAAACGUGUCUGACAGCAGAGAACAGAGCCACGAGUCUGACCCACAGAGACAUCAUGUGACUGAGAGAGCAGGAAACACGGAGCAUCACUGUUCCUCCACACUGAUCAAA